CAGACAGUACUGGAGGUUUAAGUCUUUUUAACCACAGAACAGCUACAGCCUGAGCAACAGCAGCAGUGCAAGCUUCCUGCAUUGCCCCACCUCUCCAAUGGGCCUUAACCAUGACCUGACAGACCACCUCUAAGAGGUGAGACAGUUCAGUCUCCAGGUGCAUUCAGUCCUCAAACUCC
rnacentral:sRNA from 1 species